UGGAGAGUUUGAUCCUGGCUCAGGACGAACGCUGGCGGCGUGCCUAAUACAUGCAAGUCGAGCGGACAGAUGGGAGCUUGCUCCCUGAUGUYAGCGGCGGACGGGUGAGUAACACGUGGGUAACCUGCCUGUAAGACUGGGAUAACUCCGGGAAACCGGGGCUAAUACCGGAUGCUUGAUUGAACCGCAUGGUUCAAUUAUAAAAGGUGGCUUUUAGCUACCACUUACAGAUGGACCCGCGGCGCAUUAGCUAGUUGGUGAGGUAACGGCUCACCAAGGCRACGAUGCGUAGCCGACCUGAGAGGGUGAUCGGCCACACUGGGACUGAGACACGGCCCAGACUCCUACGGGAGGCAGCAGUAGGGAAUCUUCCGCAAUGGACGAAAGUCUGACGGAGCAACGCCGCGUGAGUGAUGAAGGUUUUCGGAUCGUAAAACUCUGUUGUUAGGGAAGAACAAGUACCGUUCGAAUAGGGCGGUACCUUGACGGUACCUAACCAGAAAGCCACGGCUAACUACGUGCCAGCAGCCGCGGUA
rnacentral:rRNA from 1 species